rnacentral:lncRNA from 12 species
CUGAAAGACAAUUUUGAUUGAUAAAAUAAAUAAUACUCCAGGAACACAAACAGUUAAACAUAGGAAAUACGCAAAAUGAUCAGAUGUACCUUCACAGUUAGAAGAAACUUCAAUCCACUCACAUGGAUCUCCUGACAGCAGCACAUCUGAGGCACUGUAUUUAGAUGAACAGCUGAACAUUCCUCAGUGAAGGAGCGACCUCUGCUGGAGCUCCUGAGUCACAGCGCGUGCACGGCGGCUCUGACCAGAGGCUCUUGACAGCCCAAGGCGCUGCCGACCAACGUCACUCCGAGCGAUACAUGGACAAAGGAGGACAAAUAAGACAAAUCGUCUCAGUGCACAAGACAGUUGAUAGAGUAAGCAGAACAAAGCAGGGCAACCUUAAGCAGGUGUAAAGAACAGUUUGAAGAAGGACACAGGCUCCUGUGUGUGACCUAUCGUCUGUCGGCCCGGGAGAGCGGCUCUGCUUUCGCCCAAUGCAGAGAUCAUCUAUCCAUUGCUGUCACAUGAGGACGUGUGUCUGCCUGUUCUACACCCAUUCUCUGAUCCAGUAGGGUGCAGCACAUCCAUCACCCUGAACCCCAGCAGGCCUGCCACGCUGUCUCACUCCCCUGAUUCUGCCUCUUCUCCUCCUGCACGCACCCCUCAGCCCUCCCUGGAGACCCCAGGGCCCUUCAUCCUCAAUGGACAGCAGGGAGAGGGAUGCAGGACCCUCGCCCAGGAGAUCUGCCUCACUCCUGGGAACCUGAGGGAGGAUCC